rnacentral:rRNA from 1 species
GACGAACGCUGGCGGCGUGCUUAACACAUGCAAGUCGAGCGGUAAGGCCCUUCGGGUACACGAGCGGCGAACGGGUGAGUAACACGUGGGUGACCUGCCCUCAGCUCUGGGAUAAGCCCGGGAAACUGGGUCUAAUACCGGAUAUGACCUUCUGUCGCAUGACGGUUGGUGGAAAGUUCUUCGGCUGGGGAGUGGGCCCGCGGCCUAUCAGCUUGUUGGUGGGGUGAUGGCCUACCAAGGCGGUGACGGGUAGCCGGCCUGAGAGGGCGACCGGCCACACUGGGACUGAGACACGGCCCAGACUCCUACGGGAGGCAGCAGUGGGGAAGUAUUGCGCAAUGGGCGGAAGCCUGACGCAGCGACGCCGCGUGGGGAUGACGGCCUCGGUUGUAA